rnacentral:lncRNA from 1 species
AAUAAUACAAAUAAUAUUAAAAUAAGGAAAAUAGAUAAGGAAAAUGAAUUUAAAAUACAUUGUAAAAUGAAAAGUAUUUUAAAAGUAAAAUAUUUUUAACUGAAUAUAUACUUUAUUUAACAAUUAUACCAAUCAAACAAAUUAGUAAAUUACAAAACUAAACCAUUACACGAAUUAAAUAAAUUGAUAAAUUACUUAAACAAAAAGAAAAACCAGCACUCUGCCAACACAGGAUAGAAUCAACGUUCUUCCAUCACCGUUGCCUACCAUUGUUGUACACAUAUAUACAUGAAUCAUCUUAUUUACAUGUUCAUGAAUCUUAAUAUUCACAUAAAUCUAGCUAUACACACACACAUACAAAAUUAAUAAAAUAAAUGAACAUCAGAAGAGAGAAAAGAGAGAAAUGACUGAUUCACUACCCAUCUUAUACCAGAACAGUGGCUUUUGUUGAAGAAGUAGAGAGAAAGAGAUCUGCGAUUGGGAAAAGGAAAUAAGUUGGAUCCGCUGUCGAUCAUCAACUUCGACGUCAACACCAUGUCUUUCGGUGAGAUUUGUGAUCGAUUAGAUCUGUAAUCACUCUUGUGAGACUCAGAUUUAGACAAGUAACAAUCCUUGGAGAGAGCCCUAGAUCUGUUUUGCUUAGCAAUUGUCACUAAGGUGAACUGAAAGGAGAGAAAAAGAAAGAAAAAAGUGGGAGAGAGAAAAUGGUGAACUGAAAAAGGAGAUAGAAAAGAAAAAAAGUUAGAAAUAGGAGAGAUGAAAUGGUGGUCGGGAAGAGGAAAGGUGAGAGAGAAGAAAGAAAAAAAUGGAAAAGAUGAGUCAACA